AGGAUCAUUACUGAACUGUCGACACGAGUUGUUGCUGGCCCUCGAAAGGGAGCACGUGCACGCUCUGUUUACACAUCCACUCACACCUGUGCACCCUCUGUAGUUCUAUGGCCUUGGGGACUCUGUCCCCUUGCCGUGGUCUACGUCUUUACACACACACCGUAAUAAAGUCUUAUGGAAUGUAUGUCGCGUUUAACGCAAUACAAUACAACUUUCAGCAACGGAUCUCUUGGCUCUCGCAUCGAUGAAGAACGCAGCGAAAUGCGAUAAGUAAUGUGAAUUGCAGAAUUCAGUGAAUCAUCGAAUCUUUGAACGCACCUUGCGCCCUUUGGCUAUUCUGAAGGGCAUGCCUGUUUGAGUAUCAUGAACACCUCAACUCUCAUGGUCUGCCAUGAUGAGCUUGGACUUUGGGGGUCUUGCCGGCCUAGUGUCGGCUCCUCUCAAAUGGAUCAGCUUGCCAGUGUUUGGUGGCGUCACGGGUGUGAUAACUAUCUACGCUUGUGGUUUUCCGCCAUGUAACCUUCAGUGAUGGAGGUUCGCUGGAGCUCACAGAUGUCUCUCCUCGGCGAGGACAGCUUUUUGAACGUUUGAUCUCAAAUCAGGUAGGACUACCCGCUGAACUUAAGCAUAUCAAUAAGCGGAGGAAAAGAAACUAACAAGGAUUCCCCUAGUAACUGCGAG
rnacentral:rRNA from 1 species